rnacentral:rRNA from 1 species
GCGAUACCGCGAAUGGCUCAAUAUAUCAGUUUUGGUUCCUUAGAUCUUACUCAGUUAAUUGGAUAACUGUGGCAAUUCUAGAGCUAAUACAUGCAAUCAGAGCUCUGACCAGAAAUGGAAAGAGUGCUUUUAUUAGAUCAAAACCAAUCGACGGAGGCUCCGGCCGAUGUCGUUUCUUUUGAUGAAUCUGGAUAACUUUUGCCGAUCGCAUGGUCUCGCACCGGCGACGCAUCUUUCAAAUGUCUGCCUUAUCAACUUUCGAUGGUAGUUUCUGCGACUACCAUGGUUGUAACGGGUAACGGGGAAUCAGGGUUCGAUUCCGGAGAGGGAGCCUGAGAAACGGCUACCACAUCCAAGGAAGGCAGCAGGCGCGCAAAUUACCCACUCCCGGCACGGGGAGGUAGUGACGAAAAAUAACGAUACGGGACUCAAUAGAGGCCUCGUAAUCGGAAUGAGUACACUUUAAAUAUUUUAACGAGGAACAAUUGGAGGGCAAGUCUGGUGCCAGCAGCCGCGGUAAUUCCAGCUCCAAUAGCGUAUACUAAAAUUGUUGCGGUUAAAAAGCUCGUAGUUGCAUUUGUGCGCCGCGCUGUCGGUGCACCGCUUCCGCGGUGUCUGACUGGUUUGCGGGGCAUAUCGCGGUGAG